ensembl:lncRNA VGF nerve growth factor inducible
AUGAGGGGACCCUAUGGGGGUCUCCCUGACCUCCGCCCCCUUCGCAGCGCCGCCCUCCUCCUCUCCAUCGCCCUCCUGGCUCAGAGCCGCCCUCAGCCUCCCCCCCCCCAAAAGAAACCUCCAUCAUCAUCAUCAUCAUCAUCAUCCUCGAGGCUGGGAGACCCCUGGGACGAGCCGAACCCCUUCAGCUGGCUUGAAGACGCCAAAGGAGGCGGCACGAAACGAAACGGAGGAGGAAACCCGACAGAAACGUGGAAAGAAUUGGAAGAACUGAAUAAACUCCGAGCGGAGGCGAGAAAAAGGGAACGGGAAAGAGAACGGGAACGGGGCCGGGGAUGGGCCAGCGCCAGGCAGCUGAGGCAGCAGCAAAGCCUGGAGCUGAAGCUGCUGGAACGGCGCUACCAGGAGCUGAUGGAGAGCAGGAGGCAGGCGCAGGCAGCCCGGAAAGCGGCCGCCGAGGAGGAAAGGCUGGCGGACAUGGCGUCCGAUCUGCUGCUCCGGUACCUCCUGCACGGCCCCGGAGCGGAGGGGAAGCGAUCCGAGGAGGAGGAGGAGGAGGAAGGGGAGGAGGAACGGGAGGGGAAGGAGGAGUGGGGGGGGAGGGGCUUCCCUGAGGAGAGGGGGUUUGCGACGGGGAAGGAGUCAGUGAACAAUGGGGCAUCUGUGGGUAAAGGGUCAUCAAUGGGCAAUGGCUUCUCAAUGGAUGAAGAUUUAUCAAUGGGCAAUGGCUUCUCAAUGGGCAGAGGGGCGUCAGCGGGCAGAGGGUUUUCUGCAGGGCAGGAGUUCCCCAUUGAGAAGGAGUUUUCAAUGGGGAAGGGGUCGUCGGUGAGUAAGAAGUUCUCGGCGGGUACAGGGUUAUCAAUGGGGAAGGAAUUGGCCAUUGAUAAGGGAUUGUCAAUGGGGAAAGGCUCCAAGGUGGGGCAGGAUUUCCCACGGGGUAAUGGUUUAUCAAUGGGGAAAGGUUUCCCUAUGGACAGCGAGAGCCCGAUGGACAACGGGGCCUCAAUGGACAAUGAGGUGUUUGUGGGGAGGAAGACCCCAAUGGGGAGGAAGAUCGCAAUGGGCAAGAAGAUCCCGAUGGACACCCUGAGAUUCCCAACCGCCAACAAGAUCCCAAUAGCCAACAACGAGAUCCCAAUGGCCAACAAUGAGAUCCCAAUGGCCAACAAGAUCCCAAUAGCCAACAAUGAGAUCCCAAUGGCCAACAAGAUCCCAAUGGCCAACCAUGCAAUCCCAAUGGCCAACAACGAGAUCCCGAUGCUCAACCAAAUCCCAAUGGCCAACAACGAGAUCCCAAUGCUCAACCAGAUCCCAUUGGCCAACCACGAGAUCCCGCUGUCCAACCAUCUCCCUAUGGAUGAAGGCCCCAUGGCCAACCAGCUCCCGGGAGACCCCAACUCAUCCCCCCUCCACUCUCACCUCAACCCAGCCAACGUCCCAAGGACCGACACCGACCCAAUACCAGCCAACCCAGCCCCCGACUCGCUCCCAUUGGCCCAAGCGUUGGCUGCGGCCCUUCCAGCUCCUCCCGGUACCGGCACCGAUGGAGAUUUGGACCCUGAUGAAGGUUUGGACCCUGGAACCAUUGAUGAGCUGAUCGAGUUGUCCAGUCGUUUGCACCUCCCUGCGGACGACGUGGUGGACAUCAUCCACGACGUGGAGCAGAAGAGACAGGAGGAGGCGGCGGCGCUGGCGGCCUUUCCGCUGCCCGAUGAUGACGUCACUGAUGAUGAUGACGUCACUGAUGACGUCACCAACAAGCAGGAGUUGGAGGAGGAGGAUGAAGGUGGGGAUGAAGCCGUUCCCCCCCCGCCCCUCCCCGCCCCCCGGCCCAGGACGUUCCGGCCCCCGGCGGCGCAGUGGGGAGGGAGGAGGUGGUGA